rnacentral:lncRNA from 10 species
GUCCCGGGUGACAGGGAGCAGACUUGCUCCAAGUAGGGGCGUCUGAGGAAACGCUCGGAGGGGGUUGGGGACCCUCCUGAGAAAAGCGGCUGUCCAAGGGAGGGGGCUCCUGGAGAGAUGAGGAGCAGCAGGUCUUCGGAGGGUCGGACGAGUAGAGAUCUUGCACCGCCUGGGGGAAGAACCGGAGCUCCCUGCGCCCCCAUAGCUGAGCUGGGAUGGGAGACCCAACUGGCCUGGCCGCUCCGGCUCUGAGGAUCCCUAAGGGACCAGGAAAGAAGUCCUCGAGGAGUGGCUCGCGUUUGAGACCGGGAUUUGAGGCUUAAGCAACUUCUUCCGGGGAAGAGUGCCAGUGCAGCCACUGUUACAAUUCAAGAUCUUGAUCUAUAUCCAUAGAUUGGAAUAUUGGUGGGCCAGCAAUCCUCAGACGCCUCACUUAGGACAAAUGAGGAAACUGAGGCUUGGUGAAGUUACGAAACUUGUCCAAAAUCACACAACUUGUAAAGGGCACAGCCAAGAUUCAGAGCCAGGCUGUAAAAAUUAAAAUGAACAAAUUACGGCAAAGUUUUA